UGGGGGAAUAUUGCACAAUGGGCGCAAGCCUGAUGCAGCAACGCCGCGUGAGGGAAGACGGUUUUCGGAUUGUAAACCUCUGUCUUUGGUGACGAAGAAGUGACGGUAGCCAAGGAGGAAGCCACGGCUAACUACGUGCCAGCAGCCGCGGUAAUACGUAGGGGCAAGCGUUAUCCGGAUUUACUGGGUGUAAAGGGAGCGCAGGCGGUCCUGCAAGUCUGAUGUGAAAGCCCGGGGCUCAACCCCGGGACUGCAUUGGAAACUGUGGGACUUGAGUGUCGGAGGGGCAAGUGGAAUUCCUAGUGUAGCGGUGAAAUGCGUAGAUAUUAGGAGGAACACCAGUGGCGAAGGCGGCUUGCUGGACGACAACUGACGCUGAGGCUCGAAAGCGUGGGGAGCAAACAGGAUUAGAUACCCUGGUA
rnacentral:rRNA from 1 species